AUGAAAUGUAACAAUUAUUUUAUUUUUAGUGUUGGCAUUACUGCAUUGUGUCAUUUUGCUUUUCUUACACAGAUCGUCCCAUGCAAUGUGAGGUUGAAAUUCAACAAGCUGACAGGAGACACUGUGACAUUUGAGGCUCCUGGGGGGCCGUACACUAUGGAGGUCGAGAAAGGACGCAAUAUGUCGCAGAUUGGAGGAGAUGGAUGGGCCCGUUUCCUCGCUCGUAUGCGUCUUACUGGUGGUGAGUUGAUCAGAUUCUCCUUCAGAGCAGAAAGACCCAAACUGGUUGUCAUUUAUAUCAACCUGGUGGAAGAUGAUGAAGAUGAUGAAGAUAAUGAGGACCCACUCAAUGAAGAUGAUGAGAACCCACUUCAUGAAGCCAUCAUAGCUCAAAGAAUGAGGCUGAGCGAGGAGGAGGUGUGCAACCUAUGGGACAUAAUUCCGCCACGUGAUGACUUUGUCGGGGUGCCAUUCGUGACCCGCCUGACAAGUACCAUGGUCGAUCGGCAUGAAAUGGUAUGUUAUACGUAUAUGCUUAGUGAAUCCGAUGAUAUGCUUAGUGUAGAGUCCAAUGAUAUGCUUUGUGGAAUCUAG
rnacentral:rRNA from 1 species